ACGGGUGAGUAACACGUGGGUAACCUGCCUCAUAGAGGGGAGUAGCCUUCCGAAAGGGAGAUUAAUACCGCAUAACAUAGCACUACCGCAUGGUAGAGUUAUCAAAGGAGCAAUCCGCUAUGAGAUGGACCCGCGGCGCAUUAGCUAGUUGGUGAGGUAACGGCUCACCAAGGCGACGAUGCGUAGCCGACCUGAGAGGGUGAUCGGCCACAUUGGAACUGAGACACGGUCCAGACUCCUACGGGAGGCAGCAGUGGGGAAUAUUGCGCAAUGGGGGAAACCCUGACGCAGCAACGCCGCGUGAGUGAAGAAGGCCUUAGGGUUGUAAAGCUCUGUCAUAUGGGAAGAUAAUGACGGUACCAUAAGAGGAAGCCACGGCUAACUACGUGCCAGCAGCCGCGGUAAUACGUAGGUGGCGAGCGUUGUCCGGAUUUACUGGGCGUAAAGGAUGCGUAGGCGGAUAUUUAAGUGGGAUGUGAAAUCCCCGAGCUUAACUCGGGGGCUGCAUUCCAAACUGGAUAUCUAGAGUGUCGGAGGGGAAAGUGGAAUUCCUAGUGUAGCGGUGAAAUGCGUAGA
rnacentral:rRNA from 1 species